AGUUGUGGCUGAAUCCUAUGGUCGAAUCUUUUUCCUAGGUAUAGACUAAAAGUAGUCCAAAGCCCAUUGAUAUUUUGGUGGAAAAGACUACAAAUCUCAUGGCACUCUACUGGUAUAAUUAUCCUAAAAUUAUAAUUAAUCGUGACAUAAUUGAGGUAAGUAUGCACUGUUAGUAACAAAAUUAUCAAACAUACCAUCUUAGAUAAAAAUAAUAAUAGA
rnacentral:lncRNA from 1 species